CGGACGCGGAAAAACUUUUUGCGCUAACAUACAUUGACCUAAAACAUAGAUUCCAAGCAAAUGAAAAAGUUUAUCUGAUAAAUUCGAGUAGUACACAGACACGGCUAACGAGCAUUUCGGCCGAGUUACGUUUAAUUUUGAGUUUUUUUUUUUGUUCUUUCGUUGGAAAUUUUGUUUCCGUAGCAAAUCGAGGAUAGUCACAAAGAAGGAAGAGAGCGAAUUAUCGGUGUCGUGAGGCGAACGAAACUCGGAUGCCCGGUUUUCGAAAAACGAAGAAAAAUAAUCACAGUGAAAGUGUAACAUCAAAGUGUAUGAGCUCGUAAAAAAAUUUUUUUCGUUUGUUUCAUAACACAUAAACUUGAAUAUCUCAAAGUAUAAUCGGAAGGCAGAAAAAAAAUCCAUUAAAAUUACGUUUGGUUCGAAUGGUGAAACAAAGUCGGUUUGGACCGCGGUGAAUAAAAUAAUCGAUCAAAAAUUUUGCGACACCUAAUUUCCGUAAACAGAAUUAAAUUAUGAUGUAAAAUAAUACGAGAUCGAUUGCACGACAAAAGCAAAACUGUUUUUGGUUUUAUUUUGGCUUUUCUUUCGGAAAGUUUAGUGCGAAACGAAGAGACAAUUCCAAAAAAUAGAACAUGUUCGAAAAGCAUAAAAAGCAGAUAACACAAGCAGAAAGAAGAAAUUAACAUUUCAAAAAAGCCUUUCAAACUGAUUCGAGGGCCGGAGUGAGAAAAAAAACGUGCCGAAAUAUUCUAAUAAAAAAGGACAAUAUUAUCAAAUCGGAGAAUUUAACGAAGAAAAACACACACACAUCGAAACUCUAAUUAACGACAUUUAGAACAGAACAUUUAAAUUGUUCACCUAGGCCAACAUUAUUAUUAUUAUCAAUUGUUGCAAAUAUAUCAGUGGACAUCAUGUGAUCGGCACACUGAACGUCACGUUUGUAUCAGAUGUGAUACACCGCUUCAUUUCCACGAGAUUUGUAGUGGUGUUGAUGCGGUAAAACGUCAAUCGCAAACAAAGGAAUAAAGCGAUCAAAACUAAGCGAGAUAACAAAAAUCAAAACGAAAACAAAAACGCGAAGCGCACGAAGCCAAUUGAUUGUAAAUGUACAUAAAUUACAAGGCAAUUUCAUCACGGAGGGUCUCAAAAGUGCAUUAGCCCGUCUAAGACAUCGAACGGGCUCACCAUCAUCACCACCGUCGUCAACAUCAUCGCCAACUCCGAAUACCUCAUCCAAAGCUGCUGCUGCUGUAGCCGCCGUUCUUUCGUCUACAU